rnacentral:lncRNA from 1 species
CAGGUAAUAUGACUUGCAAGACUUAAACUAUGCCAUGUUUAUAGUUUGGAUAUGAUCAGUUCCUUCCUGAUUGGUAUCUUGAGUUUUUUUAUUUUUGUUUUUGUUUUUUUUGGUGUGUGUGUGUGGGAAAGAUCCGGUUACCCGGCAUUAUAUUAAUAAGCAAGAUAUAGAGUUGCAAUCUUACAUGCGCAAGAGGUGCUACCUCAUAUAUCAGAAUUACUCAUAGAGUACCCCCCCCCCCCCCCCUGUGUUGAAACCCAAUCAGAGCACUCAUCCUUAGAGUAGAGCCUGUGAAAUGCGUGCUCAUCCUUAGAAGCCAUAACUUUUCAUAACUUUUAAUCCUUGUGAAAUGCGUGCUAAUUCUGAAGAGAAUAGGACCUUGAUUACCUGGCCAUAUGCUGUCAUUUUGAUGCAUAAUAUCGCAUCUGACUAGAAAGCUCAUGUGAACUUCUACAGAAACUGUACAGUGAAUCUUUUACUACUUCCUGUAGUCCAUAGGUCUCCAUUGAUUUGCUCUGAAAUAUUACUAUAUGAAUUUAGUGAUCUUGUCCGCAACACUAACCAUCCUUCUUCACUGGCCAGGCUGCUCGCAAUAAUGUUCUUCUUGCAGUACCUGCUUUUCUAUAUGCUAUCAACAACUAUUUGAAGUUCAUAAUGCAGGUAAAGCAUCUUUUUAAGCACACCAGUGGUCAGAACUUGGUGUACUCUGGUUUUACUGUUCUUUAACUGUCUGUAGUAAUAGUGGAUUCUAACAGUUGUACUAACCUAACUUGGAUCUCGUACAUCUUCUCUAACUACCAGUCCUAUGAUUUAUGCAGUUAUAUUUUAAUCCUGCUAGCGUGAAAAUGCUGAGUAAUCUCAAGGUAUGCUACUAUGGUUAACUAUUAUGUUAGCCUUUUCUUUAAAAAAAACGUUAGGAUUAUUAGUAUAUGUGCACUUGAAUGCUUGCAAAUAUGCAAAUGUUAGGACAUGGGCGUGCAACCUGCCAAAUGCCUGUAUGUACACGCAUAUGCACUUGGUGGCUUGGGCAUGCACUCUUUGUUUCGUCUGUUUUAAAAUUAUCUAUUAGCGACCACCUUGAUACAUGUUUAUCUUUUGAUGUUUGACUUCUGUUUGGAGUUUGGCUGCACAUGGCACUAAUCAUGUAUUCAUGCUAUACUGAAUUCUAACAUUUGC